GCCUGGCUGGCUCAGUUGGUAGAGCAUGCGACUCUUGAUCUCGGGGUUGUGAGUUUGAGCCCCACAUUGGGUG
rnacentral:tRNA from 1 species